ensembl:lncRNA
UUUUCCUGCUUUAUCUCCCCAAAUCCCCCCUGUACACAGUUGUAUAUCUUAGUUGCAGAUCCUUCUAGUUGUGGGAUAUAGGAUGCCGGCUCAACGUGGCCUGACGAGCGGUGCCAUGUCCGCGCCCAGGAUCCAAACCCUGGGCUGCUGCAGCGGAGCGCACGAACUUAACCACUCGGCCACAGAGCCGGCCCCUAAAGGAAUUUUUUAAUGCCCCCUCUACCUCCCCACCCCCCAUCAAUAUCAGUGAGGUAUAUUUUCACAUGGCUUUUUUAGAAAGCAGUAAAGUAGCUUGGACAAAAACAUCAUUGUUAAUGAUGACUAAGAAAAUGUCGAUGAGAGUGAAGAGUGUUUUUUAAGCCCUUUUGAUCCACAUGGGGAACACUAGAACAAUAUCUCUAAGUUAGUGCAUGUACAGAUUAUUACAGUUCUGACUCAUGUUGGUCAAUCCAUAACUUGAAGAAAAUAAAUAGAAAUUUUACAUUUGAAGAAAUUGGGUAGCUGGGAAGUAAAACCUGGCCUGACCUGUACUGAUGUGAAGCCAUUUACAGGCUUUACCCAUGCUACUUAGUGUGAGCAUUCAUUCACUUCACUGCAGAAAUACUGUUUCAUUGUAGUGUGCUCUGCUGGGGACAUCCCAUAAUGCCUGGUGUAUGGACCUUACUGCCAUUCUGAACUCUCAGGAUUUCUAAGUUUUGCAUCAUACCUGGUCCCAAGGAUUUAGGAUAAGGGAUUGUCAACCUGUAGUCAUUUCCAGAAUAGUUAUCUAGGUGAUUUGAUACUUGGGAGCAUAAACACAGUGACAGCAUAAUCCCAGACUUUACAGAAUAAUUUUAAUUUCCAGUAUCCUCUUUUAUCUUGUAGUUCUUGUGCAGACCACAUGACAAUUUAUAUUUUGCUGAAAAUAAUUGUGAAUAUACUGCAUCAUUUAUUACUUGACCUGGGAAAGGUAGAACCCAUGACUAAUUGUAGGCCAGUGGAGAGAAUCAGAAAACCACCUUUAAAGUUCACAAUGUUCCCCAAAAGCUGAUUUCAAUGUCUAGGAAACAACUUGAUUCUACCUUCUAACUUUCCUUCCCUUUUAGCACAAAGCUGCAAAAUGACUGCCUCAUAAACCGAGUGAGCACACUCCACUUUGGAAAUUAGGGGUCUGUGCAACAGAAAUUGUAGCAAUCAAGCGACAGUAACCAAUCGCAUCUUUAGCCAUGAUUGGCUGAAAUUCAUUUAUGAAUGACAAAUGGGAAGGGUACAACAUGACUUCCCAGGAAAUGAGAAGAGCUGAACAUAGCCGAACCUUUGAGAGCGUGACCUGUCUGAACAAAGGUAGGACCUACGAGCAUCAAGUGCCUCAAAGAAAUACAUUUUAGAGGCCAGCCCCAUGGCUGAGUGGUUAAGUUUGUGCAUUCUGGUUCAGCAGCCCAGGGUUUCACUGGUUCAGAUCCUGGGCGCAGUCCUAGCACCGCUCAUCAGGCCUUGCUGAGGCAGUGUCCCACAUAGUACAAGCAGAGGCACUCACAACUAGAAUAUACAACUAUGUACUGGGGGGCUUUUGUGGAGAAGAAGAA